ACGAACGCUGGCGGCGUGCUUAACACAUGCAAGUCGAACGGAAAGGCCCUGCUUUUGUGGGGUGCUCGAGUGGCGAACGGGUGAGUAACACGUGAGUAACCUGCCCUUGACUUUGGGAUAACUUCAGGAAACUGGGGCUAAUACCGGAUAGGAGCUCCUGCUGCUUGGUGGGGGUUGGAAAGUUUCGGCGGUUGGGGAUGGACUCGCGGCUUAUCAGCUUGUUGGUGGGGUAGUGGCUUACCAAGGCUUUGACGGGUAGCCGGCCUGAGAGGGUGACCGGCGACAUUGGGACUGAGAUACGGCCCAGACUCCUACGGGAGGCAGGAGUGGGGAAUAUUGCACAAUGGGCGGAAGCCUGAUGCAGCAACGCCGCGUGCGGGAUGACGGCCUUCGGGUUGUAAACCGCUUUCGCCUGUGACGAAGCGUGAGUGACGGUAAUGGGUAAAGAAGCACCGGCUAACUACGUG
rnacentral:rRNA from 1 species